AGAGUUUGAUCAUGGCUCAGGACGAACGCUGGCGGCGCGCUUAACACAUGCAAGUCGAGCGAGAACCUAGGCUUCGGCCUAGGGGAAAGCGGCGAACGGGUGAGUAUCACGUGGGUAAUCUGCCCUCGACAUCGGGAUAGCCCGGGGAAACCCGGAUUAAUACCGAAUGGCCCAUCCGCUCUUCGGAGCGGCUGGAAAAGGUAGCUUCGGCCUCCGGUCGAGGAGGAGCCCGCGGCGGAUUAGCUUGUUGGUGAGGUAAUGGCUCACCAAGGCGACGAUCCGUAGCUGGUCUGAGAGGACGAUCAGCCACACUGGGACUGAGACACGGCCCAGACUCCUACGGGAGGCAGCAGUGGGGAAUCUUGCGCAAUGGGCGAAAGCCUGACGCAGCGACGCCGCGUGCGGGAAGAAGGCCUUCGGGUUGUAAACCGCUUUCAGGAGGGACGAAGCCACUCGGGUUAAUAGCCCAGAGGGUGACGGUACCUCCAGAAGAAGCCCCGGCUAACUACGUGCCAGCAGCCGCGGUA
rnacentral:rRNA from 1 species